rnacentral:rRNA from 1 species
CAGUCGCCACGGUAAAACGUAGGGUGCAAGCGUUAAUCGGAAUUACUGGGCGUAAAGCGUGCGCAGGCGGUUAUAUAAGACAGAUGUGAAAUCCCCGGGCUCAACCUGGGAACUGCAUUUGUGACUGUAUAGCUAGAGUACGGCAGAGGGGGAUGGAAUUCCGCGUGUAGCAGUGAAAUGCGUAGAUAUGCGGAGGAACACCGAUGGCGAAGGCAAUCCCCUGGGCCUGUACUGACGCUCAUGCACGAAAGCGUGGGGAGCAAACAGGAUUAGAUACCCCAGUAGUCCCUGUCUCUUAUAC